CCUACGGGUGGCAGCAGUGAGGAAUAUUGGUCAAUGGGCGCGAGCCUGAACCAGCCAAGUAGCGUGAAGGAUGACUGCCCUACGGGUUGUAAACUUCUUUUAUAAAGGAAUAAAGUGAGGCACGCGUGCCUUUUUGUAUGUACCUUAUGAAUAAGGAUCGGCUAACUCCGUGCCAGCAGCCGCGGUAAUACGGAGGAUCCGAGCGUUAUCCGGAUUUAUUGGGUUUAAAGGGAGCGUAGGUGGGUUGUUAAGUCAGUUGUGAAAGUUUGCGGCUCAACCGUAGAAUUGCAGUUGAAACUGGCAGCCUUGAGUACAGUAGAGGUAGGCGGAAUGCGUGGUGUAGCGGUGAAAUGCUUAGAUAUCACGAAGAACUCCGAUUGCGAAGGCAGCUUACUAGACUGCCACUGACAUUGAUGCUCGAAAGUGUGGGUAUCAAACAGGAUUAGAUACCCUAGUAGUC
rnacentral:rRNA from 1 species